ensembl:lncRNA
GUCCCCGUCCGACCAGAACAGAGACGACAGCGUUUACACUCUUAAUGCUAACGCUGUGUUCCAUAAGAAAGAGCUGGCGUCCAGUGGAGACCCUAACGUCCCUCUGGUGGCCCAGGAACUGAUGAAGAGGAUGGUGAGGCAGUUUGCCAUGGAGUACGCCUCCAAGACACGCCUUACCACCACCACAGGCUCCCAGCGUUCUGACCUCGACUCACCUCUAGACCUCACUGUGACACGGAACCAGGAGGGGGAACCCACACCAGCGGACAGUGUGCUCGACCUCUCCAAGCGGAACUCUGCCAGCUCGGCCUCCACGUCACCCACCAUUCACAAAGCCUCAGGGUGAGUGUCUCUCCUCUCAUUGGUCCAUAAUGUCCAUACCAGCACGAUACUUAGUAUGCCUAGCCAAUAGAUGCCGUCGUUACUAUUUACCAUGCAUUGACAAUACAAUAUUUCACUAUUAUAGCCUGUACGGCAAAACCACAACAUAAUUCAGAGUAGUGGGACAGUGUUAGGUGGUCUGUAUCAGUAGACUGUCUGUCUAGUGGUGGAUGUAGUGGGACAGUGUUAGGUGGUC